GAUGAACGCUGGCGGCGUGCCUAAUACAUGCAAGUCGAGCGAACAGACGAGGAGCUUGCUCCUCUGACGUUAGCGGCGGACGGGUGAGUAACACGUGGAUAACCUACCUAUAAGACUGGGAUAACUUCGGGAAACCGGAGCUAAUACCGGAUAAUAUAUUGAACCGCAUGGUUCAAUAGUGAAAGACGGUUUUGCUGUCACUUAUAGAUGGAUCCGCGCCGCAUUAGCUAGUUGGUAAGGUAACGGCUUACCAAGGCGACGAUGCGUAGCCGACCUGACAGGGAGAUCAGGCAAACUGGAAAGGAGACAAGGUACAGAGACCUACGGGAGGCAGCAGUAGGGAAUAUUCCGCAAUGGGCGAAAGCCUGACGGAGCAACGCCGCGUGAGUGAUGAAGGUCUUCGGAUCGUAAAACUCUGUUAUUAGGGAAGAAAAAAUGUGUAAGUAACUAUGCACGUCAUGACGGUACCUAAUCAGAAAGCCACGGCUAACUACGUG
rnacentral:rRNA from 1 species